UCAGGAUGAACGCUGGCGGUAUGCGUAACACAUGCAAGUCGAACGAAGUUUUUCGGAACUUAGUGGCGGACGGGUGAGUAACGCGUGAGAAUCUGCCUUAAGGAUUGGGACAACAGUGGGAAACCGCUGCUAAUACCAAAUAUGCCUUUUAGUGAAACGGGUAAAACCGCCUUAAGAUGAGCUCGCGUCUGAUUAGCUAGUAGGUGUGGUAAGAGCGCACCUAGGCGACGAUCAGUAGCUGGUCUGAGAGGACGACCAGCCACACUGGGACUGAGACACGGCCCAGACUCCUACGGGAGGCAGCAGUGAGGAAUUUUCCGCAAUGGGCGAAAGCCUGACGGAGCAAUACCGCGUGAGGGAGGAAGGUUCUUGGAUUGUAAACCUCUUUUCUCAGAGAAGAAUAAUGACGGUAUCUGAGGAAUAAGCAUCGGCUAACUCCGUGCCAGCAGCCGCGGUAAUACGGAGGAUGCAAGCGUUAUCCGGAAUGAUUGGGCGUAAAGGGUCUGUAGGUGGUUGUUCAAGUCUGCUGUUAAAGCGUCUGGCUUAACCAGAUAAAGGCGGUGGAAACUGGACGACUAGAGUGCGGUAGGGGUAGAGGGAAUU
rnacentral:rRNA from 1 species